ensembl:lncRNA
UGAGCUGGGGAUUUUAUUUGGGGGAUGGCAGUCUUCUUUGCGGGAAGGUGGAUUUUAUGAUCAUUGCAAUGAUUCGGCAGGAAUAAGAGUGUUAUGACUAAUGACCGGCGCCAGCAUCGGGUCCAAGUCAGAGCCAGGACUGGCUGGCCACGGCUCAAAGCUGAAGCUAGAAGUUGGCGGGAAACUAGGCAGACAUCAAAGGUUUCUGGGUGGUUUUCCUGGACAGAUGUCCCCUUUUCUUUGGGUUGUCAUCGCCCAGUGCCUGCCCAAAACACGCUUCUAAGUGGACAGGGCUUGUAAGGACAGGAGAUGGAGGAGAUUGGCACCUGGUGCAGGACGUGCCUUUCCCUUUCCCCUUUCCCAAUAAUGGAGGGAGAUACAUUACACGAGUCUUCUGUGGCUCCCAGCACAAGACUCAUGGAAGACUCUAUUCAGCUCUAUUCAAUUCGAUUCGGUUUUAUUAUUUGGGUUAUUAUUUGGCCAUGAUCAUAAUCUCAAAUCAUGUUCAAAUAAUCCAUAGGCUCAACCCCCUAAACACAUCACUGAUGUUAACCCAAGGAACAGGAAGCAACCUUAAGCAGAACCCAUGUCAGCCCAUCCAAAGGGGGGGAGGGAGAAUAUGCUGUACAUUUGGUGAAGAUUCAGAUUCCUUGUUCAAUGAAUGAUGAACAGGCCACUUUUGUGUCAGGCACACAACCAAAGAAGCCAUUCAUCAAAGCUCAAUUUGGACGGACUUUGACGAUGGCGAAAUGUGCGCUAUCCGCACGAGGUGCAGACUGUGUCCGCACAACUAUACUUUCCACUCAACUGUUGCUGUGUGGCCAGACUCCCUCUCUGCAGGGGACCAGAGGAGGCCCGUCCAACAUAUGCAGCCAGCAGGGCCUCUGAGGCAGAACUGGGCCCAGCACCUAACAGGAAGGCCACAGAUGAAGCAACUCAACCACAACCUGC